rnacentral:rRNA from 1 species
AAGCGCUUGCAACCAGACUUGCAUGCAGUUGAUCAUCCGGUGUUCUCACCGGUGCACUCGAUUGUAUUCAGGCCAGCAUCGGUUCUAGCGGUUGGAUAAAGGCCUUGGGAAUGUGGCUCCUCCGGGAGUGUUAUAGCCCUUGGUGCAAUGCAGCCUGCUGGGACCGAGGACCGCGCUUCGGCUAGGAUGCUGGCGUAAUGGUUGUAAGCGA